CAACCUGAACUCAGUCGUGAUUACCCGCUGAACUUAAGCAUAUCAUUUAGCGGAGGAAAAGAAACUAAAAAGGAUUCCCUCUAGUAACGGCGAGUGAAACGGGAAGAGCCCAGCGCCGAAUCGAUCAGUCUUUGGCUGCUUCGAAAUGUGGCGUAUAGGUGUAGUCUUCCAGCAGUGUCGUAUGUCCGAAGUCCUUGCGAUUGAGGCCAUAAACCAGAGAGGGUGCGAGCCCCGUUCUGGAUAGCGGCGCUGUUGGUUCGACUGCUCCUUGGAGUCGGGUUGCUUGAAAGUGCAGCCUAAAGUGGGUGAUAAACUUCAUCUAAGGCUAAAUAUUGACUCGAUUGCGAUAGCGAACAAGUACCGUGAGGGAAAGUUGCAAAGGACUUUGAAGAGAGAGUUCAAGAGAACGUGAAAUCGCUGGAGUGGAACCGGAGACAGUUGAUGUUGCUUGGAGACAAUCUUGGUGGCUGAUCGCUUAGCUGUGAUCGCCGCCGGGAGUCGUUUCCUAUGCUACGCCGACGGCGUUGGCCGCUCGUUCUGGCCCGACAGUGUUGCCCAUCUCGCAAGAGACGGUGUCUUGUUGUCGGUCGUUGGUUCGUGGUGGCUAGCGUUUAGUUACGCUAGUGUGUGUGACGUCGGUGUGAAAGUCGACGACGUUUCCGACCCGUCUUGAAACACGGAUUACGGAGUGUUUGUCUGCUGCGAGUCAAAGGGUGUAAAAACCUUGCGGCGCAAUGAAAGUGAAGGUUAGUCUCGAACUGACCGACGUGGGAU
rnacentral:ncRNA from 1 species